GGCAUCUAUAAAGAUCCCCCCAUACAUCAAGCAAGCACAUCCCUGUCCGCCUCCCUCUCCCUUUCCCAGCAGCAGCUCUCUCCUCUCUUCCUCCCCCAGCCGUGGCUGCAAGCUCAGCCAUGGCGGCUGCUCGGCCGGCGUCGCCGGAUCGAUCGAUGGACUCGCCCGCGGCCUAACAUUAGGCUCGGGGACUAUGGUGCAGCCAAGGAUGACUUGCCGAUCGACAGAUGCUUCGCUUCCUCCAUCUGAUCGUCAGAUCACUGGAUGCGUGUGCUGAUCGAUCGGCCAUCGGCAAGUUGUCCUUGGCUACACCGUAGCCCCUGCUCCUGAUGUAAGGCCUUGUCUGCGGCGACACACUUUUCCAUCUGAUGAUGAUCAGGGCAAGAUCAAGGCAACAUCCAUCAACUAUACCAGCUGCUCCAAGCAUGGCCGUGUGAUAGGAAGCUCUUGCGAAUUGCGGCGGGCAUUGCCGCCAAGGCCAUGCACAAAUGCAACUUUUCUAGUGCCAACUUGCGGCUCAGCUAGCUGGUCAACGUCUCGGCCUCAAGCUAGUGGUGAUCACUUAUCACUCAGUACAUACUCAAUUGAUUUGCUUGGUAGUAUUUAUUAAAAUUUAGUCGAAUUAGAGUUUCAGUUUGUUUCGGUUUCAGUGUUUUUUUAAUUUUACAGUUGCUGUUUGUUUCAUCAUCGGCAAGUUUUUGGCAAAGUUCUUUAGGCGUUUGCAUCCUCGGGUAUAACGAUUGCGCCAUCUUGUCGGCCUGGACCUUACUCUUCGAUGUCAGAACAGAGCGCGUUUGUGAAGCACAAUCCGUGCACAAAUGUUUUGGUGUUUCAUCUUGUUCGCCACAUGUCUAUUGUUUGCAUUUAUCGUAUUAAAUUCCCUUAUAUUGAAAUAUUUGUUUGCGUUGAUCAUUUUGGCCGUCAAUCGAAUUUUAAUAUCAAACUAUGGCAAAGGCUCUGAGUCAACACAGCUCUACUUCCCACACAUCUUGACCAAGCUGAUUAUUUGACGCUUAUAUAGGUAGGACUUAGGGUAUGUUUUGUAGAAAUUGAUUAUGUGGCUGAAAGUGAUUCUCUUUAAUUCUUUAGCAUAAACUCUUAAAAUUAAGAUGGAGAAUCACUUCACAGAAUCAGGAGAAGUUACUUUUUCCGGCUCGCAGCUUCUUAGUUCAUUUUAGAUAAUCACUUCACAUAAUUAGAAGGAAUUACUUAUCUCUGAGAAAUUAUUUGGCAGAGCUCCUACUGGAAUCUGCAAAGAAUCAGCUCUGGGAGUAAGCAAAGAUGAAUUCCAAAUCAUUCUGUUUCUUUCCAACAUGAAAUACAUUCGAUGAUGGUUAAAUUAACUCACGGCAAUGGCAUAAUCGCUGGCGUGCGCUGCUUGCCCAUGGCUCUCCAUUGAUUGGCGUACUGCCGCUUGCGUGUGUUCGCACGGCCGCCUGAAUCGAAGGGGAGUAGAGUUCGCAGCGCCUGCCUGCCUCGCCUCGUGACGACGUCUAGGCCAGCUGUACACGUAUCAUUGCCUUGCCUGCAUCGAUUUCAAAUCCUGAGCGAGAUUUGCUGCAGGUAGAUUUGAAUCAUUUGGCAGAUUUGCUACGGUCGCGAUAGCUCAGACUCCUCGAAGAUGUCAAUCGAACAUACAGAGAGGGCGAGAGGCUGCCUGUACACUUGCCCCCGAUUAAAUCAAUUGGCUCGGAUUUGCCCGGGUAGUGGUAGCACGGCCACAUACCUGGUGAAUUCAGAACAAUUAAUCAAUAUGGUGGCCGGGAUUAGAUUGCAGAAGAUAUGCACAUCUGCAUGCUCGGUUGAAACUGAACUGAUCCUAAGCUCACUCGCAAUGCGCUAAAAGAAAAUCUUAGCUGGGGACAAGCAGGUAUGUUUCGUUGUUACAAUUACUGGAAUACCUAAUAUGAAGUUCUAUUUGUUCUUAUCUUCGCUUGAUAGGUUCAUUCUAAAUCUGAGUUAGAAAUUUGAUUUAUGCUGGUAGGCUCGUAAGGUUUCAACCGAAAGGAAUACAGAAAUGAUAGAUUUCUGAUAAUCCAUAGUACAUUAUUGUACAAGUGUGGCCCAGCUCGUUGACGCCCAUGCUUAAGAAAGCUGCCCCUCUCUUAACUGCACAUCACGCCCAUCUUUAUCCACAUUCCAAUCACCAGAAGGAAUUAGGAUUUUUUGUCUUGAACAUGCUAAACACAUCCAAUGGAGUAAUGAAUACAAGAUAAAGCACCACUGUUUCAUUUGAUAUAGAAAAUUCUCGGUUCAAAAUUGUUGACAUCUAUUGUAUCGACACUUUGUUGUGGAAAACUACUUGCGAGGUUGAAAAGAAAAGGAAAAGAAAAUUGACGAUCAACUCGCUUGGCAUACCCAAAUGCACUGGGGAACGAGCAUGGAUCAAUGCAAAAGGACUCCGGGGGCUCAGGGACUAAACCGAGAAAACAACUUUCUCCCCUGGCCGUGUCGGUCUCCUCGCAUCGCACAACACCCUUCUCUCUCCUCCAAACUUCCUCCCCCUUCCUCGCCGCCUUUGCACUCCCAUCCCCUCGACAAGGCAUACCAACUCUUUUUAGGGGGGAUGAUUGUCCUGUGUGCGGAGCGCUGCAGUAUAAGAUCAGACGAGAUAAUCCUGCUGAUGUUGAGGGAAAGCGAGAUGAUCCUAUGUGCGGAACGCUGAGCUGGAUUACUAGUGUUGAGAAAUUCCUAAACCUAGGGAUAAUUAUAGGCUCAUACCAAAUACCCUGAAGGAUCAAGGUUAUAUAAAGGAACAUGUACUCAUCUAUUAUAAAUAUAAGAGAACUAGUUCCACCUA